rnacentral:rRNA from 1 species
AUGGACGCCAUGACCCAGCGCCUGCGCCCAGGCCGAGGUGGAGCAGACACGGGAGCUGGAGCGCGCCGUGUUCAUAAGUUUUCCUUGCUUUCUGCCUUUAUUUUUCUGUUGCUUCUUCUUCGUGGGGGCGCGCUAGCGCACCCACUAGGUGUAGCUCCCAAGAUUUGGGCCAACUGCGUAGCAGUUUGGUCGAAUCUUAAACCGUUGUCUUGUGUUGAUCGUUGCUUCUUGCAGCAACUGCACUCCUACUGGGUCGGCGUCUUCAACCGGCUCCUGGAGAUGCACCGGCGGCUCAAGGAGCAGCUCGCUGCCAAGGAGGAGGAGCUCCACGUCGCCGCGGCCAAGGUGAUGUCCUGGAGGACCUGGCUGAUGCGAGCCGACUUCCACUACGACCGGCUCGUUGCUGACGCAGACCGGCUUGGGGCCGAGGUGGCGAGGGCGUGGGCGGAGGCAACGGGGGCCCAGCGGGCACUCGAUGAAGCCAGCCGGCUACGGGAGCAGCUGGAAGGCGACAAGGGUCGUCUAGAGGCCGAGGUGGAACGCCUGAAGGAGGAAGCCGCCAAGGUUGUGGAGGCACAGCGGGCCCUCGUCGAGGUGGACCAGCAACGCGGCAAGCUGGCCAACGACAAGGGUCAGCUCCAGGCCGAGGUGGAGCGCCUGAAGGCGCUGGUGGCCGCGGCGGAGGAGACCCGUCAGGGGGAAACCCAUCGCCGCGAGGAGGCAGAGAAGGCGGCCGAGGCCAAGGACGCCGAGCUGAAGGCGACCCUUGCCAAGGUCGCCGAGCUGGAGAAGUCAUUGCAGGAGCACGACCGCACCCUUGCCCUUGAGCGGCGCGGUACAUUGCUUGAAGCACAGCACCUGGAAGAGUCCUUCUCCAGGCCUUCCCGGAGACGUGCCAGCUAG